GAAGGUCCUAUCCCCACCUCUCCCUCUCGGGGCCAGAAGACUAGUUAGACAUCUUGGAUUCCCCUCCAGGGCGGGAAAACCAAAGUGAGCUGGGAGCGUGCCUCCCACAUUCCAAGCCCGGGCCCUCUGCGUGACGCUGACGCUGGGUAGGGACAGAUGGCACUGUUCAGCAUUGUCGCAGGGAGAGCACAGGUUGAGCCCAUCCCUGGGAGAGGGUGCGUCGUGAUGGAAACAUUUGCUCCUGAGCAGGCUCUUUGUCCCAGAAAGAGGAUGCGAAGGGGUGAUAUAAAAUCCACCUUGGAGCCAUCUCAGGGCUGGUUGUUCUUGAUUCCUCUGAAGACCUGGAGCUGCCUGUGUGAAUCAGACUGGAAAAACACGUGGCUGCACUUUUCCAUGAAGUAGGUAACAAAGCCACAGUUCAUGCCUGGGAAACUUGCCCUAGCAUCUCCGCCAGGAGAGCAAGCCGACUCAUGCCUGGACUCCCACACGAGGGCCAGUGCCAAGUACGCUGGAAUGAAGGGACACUGCCAAGGAUCAGGAAUACCAGGAGCUCAGCCCACUUACCAGGCUGAGCUGGGGAUGCUGAGAUUACUGUGCACACUCAGGCAGAGCUGGAAGCUGAGUCUGCCAUCCAGAAGGCUGGACCCAGACAGAGUUCAGGGAUCACACCAGAAUCGGGACACAGGAGAAGUUUGCUAACCUAGGUCCAACCCAGAAUCAGAUUCAGAUUCAGAGCAGGAGGUCAGCAGGACAGCUUUGUCCCCCAAAAGGAAUCAGGCGGAGGCCGGAGAGGCAGCUUGCCAGCUAGGAGAACACCUGAGCAGUCUUAAACCCAGGCAGGUUACUGGCAGUUGCUUCACCUUCUAGUGGCCUCACUUGCACACCAGCUUUCCCCAAGCAGAUAACCCCACAUAGCUGCAAAAUGAAUUAUUUUCUCUUGUCUGCUUCUAGAGGGUCCAUGACCAUUCUAUUGGCAGUUGGAGAGGUGAGAGUUAAACUGAAUGUGAGCCUGUGUCAGGGGCCAUGACCCAUUUUAAUGGAGGGUCUCUAACAGCACCAGUCUCUCGGUAGAUAUCACUCGAAUGGUGCUAAGCUACCUACUAGCAGAUUUAGCAGGGUGAUGCCUUUUGAAGUCUAAAGUUUUGACUGCUAAUCUCUGGGAAACAUGUCACAUCGUAUGCUAUUAUUUGGUGGUGGUGUCCAAAACCAACACAUUGGUCUUUCUCAGACGAGAAGGAUUCUUGGCACAGGCAAGCAGAGGGAAGUGUGUGGUAUGUGCGUCUUCCUGUAUCAGCUUGUGUUUCUCUUAUGCUGGAGACCUGAGGUGUCCACACUGGUGGAAAAAAAAUGCUGCCAGAUUUAAGGUGAGGAGCAAUGGCAUGAGUAAUCCUUUCAGAUAGAAGUUAGCAGUGCUGGACCUUGGAGGUUGCAGUUACAGCUGCCAACAUUCGAAAAUGGACUUAGUUAUUUUAGGAAGCCAAGUGCUGCACAUAGAGCCAACCUCAGUUGAGAUGCCUUGGGACCAGUACAUAGAAGGUGUUUAAGAUUCUACAGUUCCAUUUCAUCCUUUACAAAAUGUCCACCCUGAAUCUACAGCUUGCUUAUUGAAUCUUUGUGAAAUUUGAAGGGGAGAGGGAAACAGUAAUAUGACCCAACAUAAGAGAAGUACCAGCGAGCCUCUGUGGACACAGGUGUGUGCAUAACCACCAUCGCUCUAAUCCUUAGGUUCAUUCUUUCUCAUUUCAGUCAAAAAACUGAUUCUAAAAUUAAGGCAGACUGACACCCACUGCGUCCUAAACUGUAGAUGCAUUAAA
rnacentral:lncRNA from 1 species